rnacentral:rRNA from 1 species
CCCGCACAAGCGGUGGAGCAUGUGGUUUAAUUCGAUGCAACGCGAAGAACCUUACCAGGUCUUGACAUCCCGAUGCUAUUUCUAGAGAUAGAAAGUUACUUCGGUACAUCGGUGACAGGUGGUGCAUGGUUGUCGUCAGCUCGUGUCGUGAGAUGUUGGGUUAAGUCCCGCAACGAGCGCAACCCCUAUUGUUAGUUGCCAUCAUUCAGUUGGGCACUCUAGCGAGACUGCCGGUAAUAAACCGGAGGAAGGUGGGGAUGACGUCAAAUCAUCAUGCCCCUUAUGACCUGGGCUACACACGUGCUACAAUGGGCGGUACAAAGGGUCGCGAACCCGCGAGGGGGAGCCAACCCCAAAAAGCCGCUCUCAGUUCGGAUUGCAGGCUGCAACUCGCCUGCAUGAAGCCGGAAUCGCUAGUAAUCGCGGAUCAGCACGCCGCGGUCGAAUACGUUCCCGGGCCUU